rnacentral:rRNA from 1 species
UACGUAGGGUGCGAGCGUUAAUCGGAAUUACUGGGCGUAAAGUGUGCGCAGGCGGCCGAGCAAGUCGAGUGUGAAAGCCCCGAGCUUAACUUGGGAACUGCGCUCGAAACUACUUGGCUAGAGUGUGGCAGAGGGAGGUGGAAUUCCACGUGUAGCGGUGAAAUGCGUAGAGAUGUGGAGGAACACCGAUGGCGAAGGCAGCCUUCUGGGCCGAACACUGACGCUCAUGCACGAAAGCGUGGGGAGCAAACAGG